rnacentral:rRNA from 1 species
UCCCAUGGCGAACUGCUCAGUAACACAUGAUCAACUUACCCUAUGGAGAGAAAUAACCUCGGGAAACUGAGGAUAAUAUCUCAUAGUUGAUUAGGCUUGGAAAAGUUUUUCAAUAAAAUGGAUAAAAUAAAUGGUUUUUAUUCGCCAUAGGAUAGGAUCGUGGUCGAUUAUGGUUGUUGGUAAGGUAACGGCUUACCAAGCCGAUAAUCGAUAGGGGCCGUGAGAGCGGGAGCCCCGAGAUGGGUACUGAGACAACGACCCAGGCCUUACGAGGCGCAGCAGGCGCGGGACCUCCGCAAUACACGAAAGUGUGACGGGGCCACCCAAAGUGUUCANAUUUGAACUGUGGUAGGUGAGUAAUAUCCCCUACUAGCA